rnacentral:misc_RNA from 1 species
AAAGUCGUAACAAGGUUUUCCGUAGGUGGACCUGCGGAAGGAUCAUUAGUGAAUAUUAGGGCGUCUACUUGUAGAGCCCUGACCUCCACUUUUUCAACUCUGUGCAUUUAUUUGGCGGAAUAGGAACGAAAGUUCCCGUUCUGCGGCUUACUUUUUAAAACACUAGUACAAGCAUGUAACGAAAUAUCGAAAACAAAAAGAAAA